GACGAACGCUGGCGGCGUGCCUAAUACAUGCAAGUAGAACGCUGAAGAGAGGAGCUUACUCUUCUUGGAUGAGUUGCGAACGGGUGAGUAACGCGUAGGUAACCUGCCUUGUAGCGGGGGAUAACUAUUGGAAAGGAUAGCUAAUACCGCAUAACAAUGGAUGACACAUGUCAUUUAUUUGAAAGGGGCAAUUGCUCCACUACAAGAUGGACCUGCGUUGUAUUAGCUAGUAGGUGAGGUAAUGGCCCACCUAGGCGACGAUACAUAGCCGACCUGAGAGGGUGAUCGGCCACACUGGGACUGAGACACGGCCCAGACUCCUACGGGAGGCAGCAGUAGGGAAUCUUCGGCAAUGGGGGCAACCCUGACCGAGCAACGCCGCGUGAGUGAAGAAGGUUUUCGGAUCGUAAAGCUCUGUUGUAAGUCAAGAACGGGUGUGAGAGUGGAAAGUUCACACUGUGACGGUAGCUUACCAGAAAGGGACGGCUAACUACGUG
rnacentral:rRNA from 1 species